rnacentral:tRNA from 2 species
GGUCCCAUAGCUCAGUUGGUUAGAGCAUCUGACUCAUAAUCAGGGGGUCGUAGGAUCAUGCCCUACUGGGACCACAA